UCGCAGCUGGCGGGAAGCAAGCGCCACUUCGAAAGCCGGAGGCUCAAGUGACCCCUCUUACCACUGUCAUGGCAGUCCCAGGUUGCAACAAGGACAGUGUCAGAGCAGGCUGUAAAAAAUGUGGCUACCCUGGUCACCUGACUUUUGAAUGCCGCAAUUUUCUCCGAGUAGACCCUAAAAGGGACAUAGUUUUGGAUGUCAGCAGUACAAGUAGUGAAGACAGCGAUGAAGAGAAUGAAGAACUGAAUAAAUUGCAGGCAUUACAGGAAAAAAGAAUAAAUGAAGAAGAGGAAAAGAAAAAAGAAAAAAGAAAAGAAAAAGUCAAAUUGAAAAAAAAAAAGGAAAAGGUCUUACUCAUCCAGUUCCACUGAAGAGGACACUUCAAAACAAAAGAAACAAAAAUAUCAGAAGAAAGAAAAGAAAAAAGAAAAAAAUAGCAAAUCAAAAAAAGGGAAACAUCACAAAAAGGAAAAAAAGAAGAGAAAAAAGGAAAAGCAGUCUUCUACCCCUAAUAGUUCUGAAUUCUCCAGAAAGUAACUGAGACUUUGGCUUAAGCCAUUAAAUUUAAAUAUUUGUUUUUAAAAUGUGU